CACAUGACUGUGACGUCAUCGCAGGUCCUGCAGCCCCAUGAGGUGAGAUCUGCAGGUUCCUUAGGUGCAGGACUCUCUUCUUUUGAUAGACAAUGGUCCUUUCCAUCAAUGACCCACCAAGGAUGGAGAAGGACAGAGACCACAUGGCUGCGAGGAUAUUAGACCUCACCCUGGAGAUCAUCUCCUUGAUAACUGGAGAGGAUUACACAGUAGUGAAGAAGUCAUCUGGUGAGUGUGUGACACCCCAUGUGUCAGGAGGAUGGAGCAG